rnacentral:rRNA from 1 species
CCUGGCUCAGGAUGAACGCUGGCGGCGUGCCUAACACAUGCAAGUCGAACGGAGCAUUAUAUUGGAAGUUUUCGGAUGGAAGAUGUGAUGCUUAGUGGCGGACGGGUGAGUAACGCGUGGGUAACCUGCCUCAUAGAGGGGGAUAACAGUCUGAAAAGAUUGCUAAUACCGCAUAAGCAUACGGUGCCGCAUGGCACAGUGUGAAAAGAUUUAUCGCUAUGAGAUGGACCCGCGUCUGAUUAGCCAGUUGGUGGGGUAACGGCCUACCAAAGCAACGAUCAGUAGCCGACCUGAGAGGGUGAUCGGCCACAUUGGGACUGAGACACGGCCCAAACUCCUACGGGAGGCAGCAGUGGGGAAUAUUGCACAAUGGGGGAAACCCUGAUGCAGCGACGCCGCGUGAGUGAAGAAGUAUUUCGGUAUGUAAAGCUCUAUCAGCAGGGAAGAUAAUGACAGUACCUGACUAAGAAGCCCCGGCUAACUACGUGCC